rnacentral:rRNA from 1 species
ACUCCUACGGGAGGCAGCAGUGGGGAAUAUUGGACAAUGGGCGAAAGUCUGACGGAGCAAUGCCGCGUGAGUGAUGAAGGUUUUCGAAUCGUAAAGCUCUGUUGUAAGGGAAGAAUAGCAAGAAUAGGAAAUGAUUCUUGUCUGACGGUACCUUACCAGAAAGCCACGGCUAACUACGUGCCAGCAGCCGCGGUAAUACGUAGGUGGCAAGCGUUAUCCGGAAUUAUUGGGCGUAAAGCGCAUGUAGGCGGCUUUUUAAGUCUGAUGUGAAAGCCAGUGGCUCAACCACUGAAUUGCAUUGGAUACUGGAAAGCUAGAAUCUUGGAGAGGUAAGUGGAAUUUCAUGUGUAGCGGUGGAAUGCGUAGAUAUAUGAAGGAACACCAAUGGCGAAGGCAGCUUACUGGACAAGUAUUGACGCUGAGAUGCGAAAGUGUGGUAGCAAACAGGAUUAGAUACCCUGGUAGGUGA